rnacentral:rRNA from 1 species
GACUGUAACUGACGCUGAUGCUCGAAAGUGUGGGUAUCAAACAGGAUUAGAUACCCUGGUAGUCCACACAGUAAACGAUGAAUACUCGCUGUUUGCGAUAUACAGUAAGCGGCCAAGCGAAAGCGUUAAGUAUUCCACCUGGGGAGUACGCCGGCAACGGUGAAACUCAAAGGAAUUGACGGGGGCCCGCACAAGCGGAGGAACAUGUGGUUUAAUUCGAUGAUACGCGAGGAACCUUACCCGGGCUUGAAUUGCAACUGAAUGAUGUGGAGACAUGUCAGCCGCAAGGCAGUUGUGAAGGUGCUGCAUGGUUGUCGUCAGCUCGUGCCGUGAGGUGUCGGCUUAAGUGCCAUAACGAGCGCAACCCUUAUCGAUAGUUACCAUCAGGUUAUGCUGGGGACUCUGUCGAGACUGCCGUCGUAAGAUGUGAGGAAGGUGGGGAUGACGUCAAAUCAGCACGGCCCUUACGUCCGGGGCUACACACGUGUUACAAUGGGGGGUACAGAAGGCAGCUACACGGCGACGUGAUGCUAAUCCCUAAAGCCUCUCUCAGUUCGGAUUGGAGUCUGCAACCCGACUCCAUGAAGCUGGAUUCGCUAGUAAUCGCGCAUCAGCCACGGCGCGGUGAAUACGUUCCCGGGCCUUGUACACACCGCCCGUCAAGCCAUGAAAGCCGGGGGUACCUGAAGUGCGUAACCGCAAGGAGCGCCCUAGGGUAAAACUGGUGAUUGGGGCUAAGUCGUAACAAGGUAGCCGUACCGGAAGGUGCGGCUG